UAGGGAAUCUUCGGCAAUGGACGGAAGUCUGACCGAGCAACGCCGCGUGAGUGAAGAAGGUUUUCGGAUCGUGAAGCUCUGUUGUAAGAGAAGAACGAGUGUGAGAGUGGAAAGUUCACACUGUGACGGUAUCUUACCAGAAAGGGACGGCUAACUACGUGCCAGCAGCCGCGGUAAUACGUAGGUCCCGAACGUUGUCCGGAUUUAUUGGGCGUAAAGCGAGCGCAGGCGGUUAGAUAAGUCUGAAGUUAAAGGCUGUGGCUUAACCAUAGUACGCUCUGGAAACUGUUUAACUUGAGUGCAAGAGGGGAGAGUGGAAUUCCAUGUGUAGCGGUGAAAUGCGUAGAUAUAUGGAGGAACACCGGUGGCGAAAGCGGCUCUCUGGCUUGUAACUGACGCUGAGGCUCGAAAGCGUGGGGAGCAAACAGGAUUAGAUACCCUGGUAGUCCACGCCGUAAACGAUGAGUGCUAGGUGUUAGACCCUUUCCGGGGUUUAGUGCCGCAGCUAACGCAUUAAGCACUCCGCCUGGGGAGUACGACCGCAAGGUUG
rnacentral:rRNA from 1 species